UACGUAGGGUGCAAGCGUUGUCCGGAAUUAUUGGGCGUAAAGAGCUCGUAGGCGGUCUGUCGCGUCUGCUGUGAAAACCUAGGGCUUAACUCUGGGCGUGCAGUGGGUACGGGCAGGCUAGAGUGCGGUAGGGGGAGACUGGAAUUCCUGGUGUAGCGGUGAAAUGCGCAGAUAUCAGGAGGAACACCGGUGGCGAAGGCGGGUCUCUGGGCCGUAACUGGCGCUGAGGAGCGAAAGCAUGGGGAGCGAACAGG
rnacentral:rRNA from 1 species